ensembl:lncRNA
UUUCCUUCUUCUACUCUUCUUUUCUUUCUUCACUCUUCUUCCACUCUUCUUUCCUUCUUCCACUCUUCUUUCCUUUCUUCUUUCCUUCUUCCACUCUUCUUUCCUUCUUUCUCUCUUCUUUCUUUUCUUCUUUCCUUCUUCCACUCUUCUUUCCUUCUUUCACUCUUCUUUCUUUCCUUCUUCCACUCUUUUUUCCUUCUUUCACUCUUCUUUCCUUCUUUCACUUUUCUUUUUUUUCUUCUUUCCUUCUUCCACUCUUCUUUUCUUUCUUCACUCUUCUUUCUUUUCUUCUUUCCUUCUUCUUUACUUCUUCCACUCUUCUUUCCUUUCUUCUUUCCUUCUUAUACUUUUCUUUUUUUCCUCUUUCCUUCUUCUUUCCUUUCUUCACUCUUCUUUCUUUUCUUCUUUCCUUCUUCCCUUCUUCUUUCCUUCUUCCACUCUCCUUUCCUUUCUUCUUUCCUUCUUCCACUCUUCUUUCCUUCUUCUACUCUUCUUUUCUUUCUUCACUCUUCUUUCCUUCUUUUACUCUACUUUCCUUUCUUCUUUCCUUCUUUCUUUUCUUCUUCCACUCUUCUUUCCUUUCUUCACUCUUCUUUCCUUUCUUCUUUCCUUCUUUCACUCUUCUUUCUUUUCUUCUUUCCUUUCUUCACUAUUCUUUCCUUUAUUCUUUCCUUCUUCCACUCUUCUUUCCUUCUUCUACUCUUCUUUUCUUUCUUCACUCUUCUUUCCUUCUUUUACUCUACUUUCCUUUCUUCUUUCCUUCUUUCUUUUCUUCUUCCACUCUUCUUUCCUUUCUUCACUCUUCUUUCCUUUCUUCUUUCCUUCUUUUACUCUUCUUUCCUUUCUUCUUUCCUUAUUUCACUCUUCUUUCUUUUCUUCUUCCUUUCUUAACUUUUGCAUUUCAUGCACUGGUAUUUCCUUCAGGAAAUGCAUUUUCUAGUUCUUCUUCUUCUUCUUCUUAUUAUUCUCUUUACCGAACUUCUGCGCUUAAUUCAGCUUGAACCGCUUAACUUAAAAACUUCGUUCAAACUUUGGCGCGUAGGUCUUGUAAAGGACACUUAUGCUAUGUAUUUUUCAUUUUUCUAAACUUUAUACUUUUUAAAAUAUUAAAUAAAAACUAAUACAAUUUCUCCCAUUGACUUACAUUGGGCCAUUAUGACAUCAUAAUAGGGUCUUUA